AGAAAAAGUGCCACUAAUACCCAGCGAUCCAGAGGCUGGGUUCCAACAAAGAGUCAUUCGGGAUUCUGAAUUCUGAAUUCUGACUUCCCAACCUUUUACAAAGACUAUUCCACACCGUAGGUCCCUCCUGCUUCUCGGCUUCAAUGACACCACACCAGGAGCACGUGGAUGACUGGAACUAUGGAACAAAGCCAGUUGAAGACAGGAGACUAUACCAGUGCACACACUCAUGAGCCUCCAUGCACACACACAGUUGGGCAAUUUGAAGGACAUUCACAGAAGGCCCCCAGACUGAUGCAAGCAUGUCAAAUAAAGUAGUAGGAACAUGAUUGGUGUGAAACCUCAGGACAUCUACCACACAGAUAAUGAUGAAGGUUUAAAAGAUGCAUUUUGGAGUUUUGCACUGUUGGACAUCCAAUUUAUGUGGUUGUGAGGAGCUGCUAAGCAGUUUAUCUUCUAUCCAUUUUAACGAUCAAAACUGAAUUCCAAUGAAACCCUUAUACUGCCUGUUGACAACGUGAAAAUGGGCCAAAUUUAUAGCCAGCUUUAUUAAAUGGGGUUGUAAACAAACUCCUCUGCAUAAAGCCCUGCAAGUUGAGUCAGGCUUUGAGGCCAAAAAAAAAAAAAAAGAUAAAACACAGGACCAGAAAUCAGCCUGACUAAGCAAGAGGAUGCUCCAAGAGGUUCAAAACAUCUGAGUGGACGAGUUAGAAAGGCCUGUCCGCAGACUCCCAAAUCUAAGCCAUACCAAAGGAAAACGCUGGGCAUUGUGUGGAUUCAAAAUUAAUUUGCUUUAUCAUUUCCUGCAACAAUAGUAAAAACUUUCCCCCCAGUUUCUAAAAGCAGCAAGAUUGGUGGUGGUUGUGGUCAUGAACAGCCAAUGAAUGAUUCAUUCUCACUCAAGUGGAACCCAUGGGAAAUGUUGCCAAUAACUUGGUUUAUUUCUUAUCUUCAGUUCUCAGCAGACAACAUAUUCGUCUAUAUUUUUACAAGAGUCAUAAAUUUUUCAGUUAGUGUACAAAUCAUAACACUGCGUGAUUCCAUUUGGUCUCCGUCCUCAAGGCUUUGGGAGAGGAAAAGGAAACCCCAUUGUCUUGAUCCACAGUGUGGACCAUGCUUUCUGCAGGCUGCUGGGGAGCCCUGGAAGAGGGCAGAGGGAAGGGUUAUCAACCUCAGCCACGUAAAUAACCAGGAGAAGAUAGAUUCUGGAAUGCUCUUAAAGAAGCCUUAAGACAUGACUUUUCUCCCUUCUCUCAUCCCAUUUCUUCACUGAAUACAUCAAACAGCUUCUACACACACUAUUGGUAUCUACACACCAAUAGAAAAUCCCAAACAGAGAAAAAUAACAUCAAGUCAACUCUGAUUCAUGGAGAGGAAUUUAAAAAUAAAUAAAUAUGUUGGCAAAUUGAUGUUAAUGUU
ensembl:lncRNA